UACGGAGGAUCCGAGCGUUGUCCGGAUUUACUGGGUGUAAAGGGCGUGCAGCCGGAGAGACAAGUCAGAUGUGAAAUCCACAGGCUCAACCUGUGAACUGCAUUUGAAACUGUUUCCCUUGAGUAUCGGAGAGGUCAUCGGAAUUCCUAGUGUAGCGGUGAAAUGCGUAGAGAUUAGGAAGAACACCAGUGGCGAAGGCGACUUACUGGACUGUAACUGACGCUGAGGCAUGAGAGCAUGGGGAGCAAACAGG
rnacentral:rRNA from 1 species